rnacentral:rRNA from 1 species
CAAACGGGAUGCCUUAGUACGGCGAGUGAAGCGGCAAAAGCUCAAAUUUGAAAUCUGGUACCUUCGGUGCCCGAGUUGUAAUUUGGAGAGGGCAACUUUGGGGCCGUUCCUUGUCUAUGUUCCUUGGAACAGGACGUCAUAGAGGGUGAGAAUCCCGUGUGGCGAGGAGUGCGGUUCUUUGUAAAGUGCCUUCGAAGAGUCGAGUUGUUUGGGAAUGCAGCUCUAAGUGGGUGGUAAAUUCCAUCUAAAGCUAAAUAUUGGCGAGAGACCGAUAGCGAACAAGUACAGUGAUGGAAAGAUGAAAAGAACUUUGAAAAGAGAGUGAAAAAGUACGUGAAAUUGUUGAAAGGGAAGGGCAUUUGAUCAGACAUGGUGUUUUGUGCCCUCUGCUCCUUGUGGGUAGGGGAAUCUCGCAUUUCACUGGGCCAGCAUCAGUUUUGGUGGCAGGAUAAAUCCAUAGGAAUGUAGCUUGCCUCGGUAAGUAUUAUAGCCUGUGGGAAUACUGCCAGCUGGGACUGAGGACUGCGACGUACGUCAAGGAUGCUGGCAUAAUGGUUAUAUGCCGCCCGUCUUGAACCAACGGACCAA